GGCGGUUCUCGGGUGGCGCAUACCAGAAUUGGGCUCCCUAUUCUCUGGUUCCGGGUGUGUUACCCGAGAACCACC
rfam:Myotis lucifugus cont2.30562, whole genome shotgun sequence.